rnacentral:rRNA from 1 species
CGCGAAAGGGGGCAACCCCCGGUAGCGUGGCAGACGGGUGAGUAACACGUGGGCAACCUGCCCGGAGGUGGGGAAUAACCUUCCGAAAGGAGGGCUAAUACCGCAUGACAUCGCGGGGUUCUUGGACCCCGCGCUCAAAGCUGGCCUCUGCUUGCAAGCUAGCGCCACCGGAGGGGCCCGCGUCCCAUUAGCUAGUUGGUGAGGUAACGGCUCACCAAGGCGACGAUGGGUAGCCGGCCUGAGAGGGCGACCGGCCACACUGGAACUGAGACACGGUCCAGACUCCUACGGGAGGCAGCAGUGAGGAAUCUUGCGCAAUGGGCGAAAGCCUGACGCAGCGACGCCGCGUGGAGGAUGAAGGUCUUCGGAUCGUAAACUCCUGUCUAGUGGGACGAAAGCGAGGGAGGUGAACAACCUUCCCCGUUGACGGUACCGCUGGAGGAAGCCCCGGCUAACUCCGUGCCAGCAGCCGCGGUAAUACGGAGGGGGCCAGCGUUGUUCGGAAUCAUUGGGCGUAAAGGGCGCGUAGGCGGCCGCACAAGUCGGACGUGAAAUCCCUCGGCUCAACCGGGGAACUGCGUCCGAUACUGUGUGGCUCGAGUCCUGGAGAGGGUGGCGGA